AGUGAACGCUGGCGGUAGGCCUAACACAUGCAAGUCGAACGGCAGCACAGUAAGAGCUUGCUCUUACGGGUGGCGAGUGGCGGACGGGUGAGGAAUACAUCGGAAUCUACUUUUUCGUGGGGGAUAACGUAGGGAAACUUACGCUAAUACCGCAUACGACCUACGGGUGAAAGCAUGGGAUCUUCGGACCUUGCGCGAUUGAAUGAGCCGAUGUCGGAUUAGCUAGUUGGCGGGGUAAAGGCCCACCAAGGCGACGAUCCGUAGCUGGUCUGAGAGGAUGAUCCGCCACACUGGAACUGAGACACGGUCCAGACUCCUACGGGAGGCAGCAGUGGGGAAUAUUGGACAAUGGGCGCAAGCCUGAUCCAGCCAUACCGCGUGGGUGAAGAAGGCCUUCGGGUUGUAAAGCCCUUUUGUUGGGAAAGAAAAGCAGCAGGUUAAUACCCCGCUGUUCUGACGGUACCCAAAGAAUAAGCACCGGCUAACUUCGUG
rnacentral:rRNA from 1 species